GGCGGAGGCGGACGGGGCUGCGGCGCGAAGGGCGGCGGGGCGGCCCCGGGCUGCACCCGCGGAGGGACCGUGUCGCGGCCCGCCCGCUUCCUGGUGGCCGCGCUCUGCGUCCCUGGCGGCGUCUGCCAAGACAAAAGAGUUAUGAAGGAGGAAAAUAAAGUAAGACAAAAACAACGUGAUACAUUUAAUGCCUGAUUUUAGCUUCCCGACUGCUUGCCUUUUAUAGAAGGUGGUGUCUCACAGCUGGAAAUUCACAGAACCCUCCUGUCAUAAAAGGGUAGAAAGUCGUGGCCAGACAAGUUACCUAAGGUUAUUUCUGUACUCAAAGAUGGAAUUGAAGAGGUAUCAGAAGUAACUUUAACCUUUGGUCAGCUUUGGUUAAAAUUGGUGUUAAGAAGUGGCAGCACACUGCUUCAUAUGGUCAACAGAAUCAACAAGGAAUCAAGAAAAUCUGACAGGGAAUUUGGAUAGACAUUCAUCUUCUGGUUUCCAGGGAGGUCUGUGCUGCUAUAGAGAUGCUUUUACCCCUACCUGAGCUACUCAGUUAAAAACAUUUGUGCCUACAUCAAGUACACCCACACUUCUGGCCUCAGUUUAGACAUGGAACUGUCUCUCAAGUUAACUCAUCCUGGUUGGAGCAAGGCAUUUGGUAGUUUUCACCUCAAUCAACUGUUUGGAUUUAGAACUGUGUGGGUGCCUAAUUUUAACACAGUAUGUUAACUCCUGUGAAAAUGUCCUCAUGAGAUUCUAGUUUGAGGCAGUCUGGGUUUUUUCCAGUUCCUAGUGCAUGUAAAAGUGAAGACCAGGCUGGACAGAAAGAGGACAGGAUAAAUGGUGAGCUGUUAAAUCUGAAAUCCACCCUGUUGCUGUUGCCAUUACGUCAAAGGCUCAUCCCAUGGUGUCUGACAGAAGGACUGCCGGGCAGAGAAUGAGACACAAGAAAGUCUCUGAUGCAGGAUAAGCGUGACUUGGCAAUAACCAAGACAUGAGUGUGUUACCAGCAUUAUUCUUAUGUUGAAUCUUCAACACAGCACUGUGCCAGCUACUGAGAAGAAAAGAACUAUUCCAGCCAAAACCAGGACACACUGGUGUUUAUUCAAAUCAGACUGUGUUCUUAUACUCUGAUACCCCUCCCUAUGUCCAUUUAUACUUGCCAAAAUUACAGUCAUACACUGUUUUGGUUAUCUUUUCUGUGUUUUAAAGAUAUUUUAGUAGGACACCCUCAACAAAAGUAGAGGACUUUUAGUAAAAUUCCUUUCUCAGUCUGAUCCUGCAAUUAAGAUUUCUUCCCCAUUAAACUUUAAUUGGUGCUUUUGGUCCUGCCUUCUUCAUCUGCCCUAGCAGAAAAAUAGGUGUUGCCGAAAAGACCAAUUGAGACUAAGUGUAAUUUAGAGUAAGUGUGGAAAUUAUUCAAAUGAUCCCAUGAAAAGAACUUAUGAAGUAGUGGAGAGAUCCCUCUUCAGGAUGUGUGACAUAAAUGUACAGUGAGAGAAAGUGAUCUUCAAAGUAGGUAGGUUAAAAAUAAUUUAGAAUAAACCAGUAUUUUAUGUAUGGCCAGAAAGCUGAGAGACAGUAAGUGUGAAACUCUGUAAGUACAGUCUUGUUAGGCUUAUAAUGGAAGUAUGUCUUUUCCACAUAGAUAAAAUUCUGGACUAAAUUCAAAUUGUAAUUGUGUAUAAUAGAGCUUUGUAGCAAACUGGCCUCAGGCUGAAAAAAACCCAUAACUUAUGAUUGUUAUUUCCACUCCAAAAUAAAUAGCCACAAUUUCAUUAAAGGAGGAUUUUCUGUUGGUUGUUCCCAGUAUAAAAAUACUGAAUGAAUAAAAUUAAUAAAAUAAAAUUAAUUAAUAAAUAUAAAUAAAUUAAUAAUACAACAUUUAAGUUAAAAGAUAAUGAGGCAAAAGAGACAUUUCCUGUUGACUUCAGUCAGUGCUGUCAAGUCCGUAUGCUUUAAAUUUUCCCAUUCAUUGUUUCUUUUCUUAUUAUGUAAAGGAUGUCAUCCAGCUGCACAUCUUUACUGAAAAUAGGUAACUGUAAGGAAAAUUACUAGCUUAACUCUGAGCUAAUCACACAAAUGCAUACAUCCUCUUAUGUUACUGCUAACUUUUUAUUACAGUGACUAUAAAAAGAUUUAAAAGUGCUACCAUCUGUAUCAGACAAUGAUCUGGCACACAUGCCUAAAAAAAAAGUCUAUUAUUCUGUGUAUAUUCCUGGUUAGCUGAAACCAGUUCUGGUUUUAAUCCUGUUACAUGCAUUGAGUCCUUAAUUUUUAACAAUAAGGUAGUUACUGUAUUGCAUUUUCUCUUUCCUGUUAACAGUGACAUAGUUAUCCUUUUAUCUUGACUGAAGGAGAACCCUGUCCUUAGCUGACAAUAUACCAGUACUCUGUGUGUGUAAGUCCUUGUUGUUUAACUUACUGUACAUGGACAACACAGAGUUUAGAAUAUUACUGGCCAACUGGUCAGGCUGUUCAAAGGCUAGAAUUUGCUUAAUGUUUAUCUGAGGUGCAGGUGAUUUCCCCUUUAAUGUGAAUAUACAAUUAAUCAGCAAAUUUUUUACUAUGUCACUGAUAGUAUUAAAUAUUAAACUCUCCACAUGCUCAAUACAGUUGAUACAUUGUGUACUAUAUUUGCAAUCAAAUUGGGUGUUACUAAGCCUUGAAGAAGUCUCACUCAACCUUAUAAUUUGUGUUAAUUAUAUCUCUCCAUUAUUAUACCUUUUAUAACCUUUCUUCAUUUGUAGGUAAUCAUGUUCCAUGUAAACAAUUUUACUGCUUUUCAAGCCUCCAUACCUAUAAUUCCCUAGGUGAUCUGAUACAAGCUCUAGGAAAACAGUGUUUGUUUUGUCUGUGAAUAUCAUUGUAAUUCAAUAACUUUUUGUUUGCAAGCCUUAGUUAAAAAUUGUCUUUCUUGAUCCAUAUGUGGGGAUUAAUACCCUCUUCUGAAAUUGUUACAUUUGUUAUUCUGUGUAUUAUUAUCUAAUUUAGGUUUCUGUAAUGUUUUUGUCUCUCUUUAAACAAAAUAAAACAUUUGUCACAGAUGAAGUGCCUGUCUUCUUAAAGGUCCUUCUCCCAACGACUGUUAAGACUGUGGCCUAAAUAUUCUUGUUUCCUUUUUCUCAUAUUUAUUUUUAUUGCUUGUGAAAUGCUAGCUUCCUGUUACUCAGGUUGUGUUCAUAGUGUAUCAUUAUCAUUAGGCUCUACCUAGUCUAAGAAAAUGUACAAUGUAUGCUAUAAACUGACCUUGUAAAACAGACUUGAAGCCAUUAAACAGUAUGGUUUUUUAAGCUAACUUUAUAUGCAGAAAUACGUAUUUUCCACUUACCACAGCUAUAGCAAAGAUAGCUAUCGGCCAAAUUUAACUUUCAGUAAUGAAAUAAAUUCUUAUUGUUUCAAUGAAGGUUUGAAUGAUCUGUGUCUAUGACAGAUGUUAUA